rnacentral:rRNA from 1 species
UACAGGGGGGUGCAAACGUUGCUCGGAAUCAUUGGGCGUAAAGCGCACGUAGGCGGUUCGUUAUGUCGGAUGUGAAAGCCCUUGGCUUAACCGAGGAAGUGCAUCCGAAACUGGCGAGCUAGAGUACUAAAGAGGAUCGCGGAAUUCCCGGUGUAGAGGUGAAAUUCGUAGAUAUCGGGAGGAACACCGGUGGCGAAGGCGGCGAUCUGGGUA